UUUUCAAGACCUAGACACAACCUAAAAAAAACCUAACACAUCUAAGGGAGCCGUUUCUCAUGAUCUGGAACCAAAAAAAACCCUAAGACCAUCAUCUUCCUCAACCUAACACACCUAGGCCCCUAACCUAGAGGAUCCCUGAGAAAUCAGCCGCAUACGCUCCUUCUUGAACCAGCGAAGAACAGAGCUCCAUCAGCCAUCUCCACCUUUCUUCUUCAACCUUCAGACACCCUAACGCCACUUCCCCUCCGGCCAAACCCAAACAGCCGAAACCCAACCCUUUCCUACAAAAUCUUUGGCAGUCGACCACCCUAGAACGACCAUCUCCACCAAACCAUCAGCCGUUGCCAAUUUCCAAACAUUCAAAAUAGCUGAAACAUAACAAAGAGGGGGGGAUAGAAGAUAGAUUUAGAAAGAAAACAAAAAAUACAGAGCGAGAAAAGGGUUUACAAAUAGAGAACAAAGAGAUGCGAGUUUCAAUCCAUCUCUGUUUUUUGUUAAACCACAAAAAACUUCAGCCUUCUUCAACCAUGAAAGCUGUAAAACCAGCUCUAAGAACGUGAAAACAGUAGCUCAAACCACUGCUCGUCGCCGUGAAAAUAGCGGCGUGUGUGUGCGAUUUUCUGAUUCUCGCCGGAAUUUUAGAUCGACUAUUUUUUAAACUUCCCGGCGAAUUUCGAGAUUGUCCGGGUGAGGUAGUCCAAGGUUUAAAAGCAGAAAAAUCGCUUGCGCCCUUCUUCAAUAACUUGGUAAUUGCUUUCUUAAUUGCUUUAACACCCAUCUUACCGGAGGACGGGGACAAAUAAGCCUCUGAAUUCGCCGGAGUUGGAAAGCGCGAGGGUUAUGAUCUUGAUAUAGCUGAAGUUUGGUAAGUUUUGUUUUGACUUAAUAUAAAGGUUUUCAUAUUUACUUGAUAUAGUUUCACUUAAUUUAAGUAAAGAUUUUCCUGAAUUCAGUAUUUUGGCCUUAGUCUUCGAAGCUAUAUGAUCUUGGAUACUAUAAUUAAGGAAAAUGAAUUAUGCUGGUAAUUAUGUUAAGAGUUGUUAUCUUCAGCAUCUUAAUAUUCAUUCAUUUGAUUAUGUAAUCUUGUUUGAAUUGAACUUCUGUGCAUAUAUUGAUUCCAGUGGUUUCGCAAAUGCUUGAGUCUCUUUUCUAGUGAUUGAAUUUAAAUGCAGUCUUUUACUUUUUGUCCCGCAUAUAUUCAUUGCAAUAGUAGUCUUGGAAAGAAAAUGUGUAGGCAAAGUUGUUUGUUUGAAUUAAUAAAAAUAAAGAAUAUCUUUUCAAUAUUAGUUCCGAUUGUAAAGUAGCCAGUUUAACACUGUUCGCUAAUGAUGUGGGAAUUAGAUUUGAGCAAUUUACAAAAAUGAAGACGUGAAUGGAAUUUGGUGCCGAUUGUUUUUUCAAUUAAAUCUUAUGGAUUUAGUGCUCUGUUAAGUUGACCCAUUUUUCUAUAUUUCAUAUCCCUAAUUCAUAACCUCACAAUAAAUCUCAAAUUAGUUUUAAGAAUAACCAUGAAUUUCGUAGUUUGCUUUAGGCGCGUUAUAAUAAAUCAUCAUAACUACGAGUACGGUUUCCGUGACGUAGUUGUGAUAUGUAAUUCUCAAAUCCGGGUGCACAUUUUAUGUGACCCGACCACAACUUCGAACCAUUAAUAAAUUAAAUAUGUUAUAUAUCAUGGGUACGGUUCCCGUGACACAAUUCACAAUGUGUACAAAACAUACAAGUGUACGACAAUCGUAACUUGUUCCAGAAUAAUUUCAUAAAUAAAUAAAUAAAAGCGGUUAAAAGGUUAAAAAUGCACAAUAGGUAUAAAAAAUGUAAUAAAUCAGAUAAAGAGACCAAUUAUUAAUAGUUGAGCAACCAUGCUAAAAUCACGGAACUCGGGAAUGCCUAACACCUUCUCCCGGGUUAACAAAAUUCCUUACCCGAAUUUCUAUAUUUUGCGGACCAUAAAUAGAGUCAAUCUUCCUCGAUUUGAGAUUUUAAACCGGUGAUUUGGGACACUAUAAAUUAUCCCAAGUGGCGACUCUGAUUUUGAAUAAAUAAUUCCGUUUCGGUUUUGUCACUUUAAUUGGAAAAACUCCCUUAUAUACCCCUUUCGGGUAGAAAAAGGAGGUGUGACAGCUCUGGCAACUCUGCUGGGGACAAGAACCCAGAAUCUCUGGUUCAGGGUUCAAGAAUUCGAGCUUAGAAUAAUUGUUAUAUUUGGCUUUUAUUUAUUAUCUGAUUUUUACUACAUGCUUGGGCCUAAUUAAUGGUGUCUAACAAGCCAGGUUUAACCGUAACUGGACCGGCCUAGACUGGUUAAAAUCAGAACCGGCCCGGACCGGUACAAGGGAGCCGGGUGGGGUUGGGUUAGAGGGGUAGGGGGUUUAAUCCGUUCACCUAUUUUUAACCGGUUACUCGGACCGGUCAAACCCGAUCAUCAGAAAUACUAUAGAACCAGUUAAACUGGCCUGGCCCAGACCAGACCAGCCCGACCCAGACCGGUUAACGACUAAUUUCUUUUUUUUAAAAUUGUUGAUUGGCUUAUUUGGUUACCAUUGGCAACAGUCACCUACCAAGGAGUCGUUGCCCAACGGCUGAUUUGCACAAUUAGCCCUUUUUUGGGAUUUAUUUUCAAAAAAUUAACACUUUUUGUAAUUACAAAUUUAACCCUUUUGUAAAACUAUAAAUACACCCCCUCUCUUCUUAUUUCUUCACUCACUCUCAUUUCUCAAUCUCAAUUUCUCAAUUCAAGUUAAAUCAUGCUCCGUACUUCUAGAGUGCGCUCAUAUGUUUGGGAACACUUUGAGGUGGUAGAAAAAAAUGAAGUUCACAAAGUAAAGUGCAAGAAUUGUGGUCGAGUCUUAAAUCUUCGUCCAAAGUGUGGCACAGGCUGUUUAGGGAGGCAUAUGAAGAGUUGUCUUGAGCGUCCUCUAAAAAUUCGUAUUUAAGUUGAUUUGAGACAAUUUGUGUUAUUUUAAAAUUAUUAUACGUAUUUAUGCUUAAUGUUUUAGUUUGUUAGAUUAAUUUGAAGUAUUGUUAUGCAUGAAAAUUUAGUUUUACUUUUUUUUCCGUUAAUUUACUUGUUAAAUGCAAACAUCCAUUUGUAAUUUUGAAAUAAAUGUAGCACUUGCAAUUUAUAAGUGCAAUUUUUCCCAUCUUCAUUUUAUUCUUUAUAUUAAUAUAACUUACAAUAGUUAUACAAAAUACAAAAAAUGUAACGACCCGACCGGUCGUUUUGAGCUUUAGCACUUCGCUCGCUAGUUCUCGGGCAUGACUAGCACCGUGCGGUGUAUUAUGACUUAUAUAAAUCGUCGAUUUUGGUUUUCAGGGUAAUCAGAAUGAAUUUGGAAGAACAGUUCUCAGUCUGAAGCUUAAAAUUUGAAAGGUUGACCAAGUUUUGACUUGUUAGUAUAUGAUCUCGGAUUGGAAUUUUUAUGAUUUUGUUAGCUCCGUUAGGUGAUUUAGGACUUAGGAGCAUGAUCGGAAUGUAUUUUGGAGGUCCGUGGAAGGUUAAGGGUUGAAUUGGCGAAAUGGGCUUUUUGGCAUUUUUCAGUUGAUAGGUGAGAUUUUAAUAUAGGGGUCGGAAUGGAAUUCCGGAAGUUGGAGUAGGUCCGUUGUGUUAUUUGUGACGCAUGGGCAAAAUUUCAGGUCAUUCGGACGAGGUUUGAUAGACCUUUUGAUCGAAUUCAGAAUUCAGAAGUUUUUGGAAUUCUUAUGCUUGAAUCCGAUGUGAUCUUAGUGUUUUGAUGUUGGUUUGAGCGUCCCGAAGGUUGGAUCAAGUUUGAAUGAUGAUAUGAGAUAUGUUGGCAUAUUUGGUUGAGGUCCCGAGAGCCUCGGGUGAGUUUCAGGUGGUUAAACGGAUCAAAUUCUUGUUUUGAAAGUUGCAGAUUUCUUCAGAUCAGUGUUGCAGAGUUUUGCUCUUCGUGUUCGCGAGAGGGCCCUCGCGUUCGCGAAGAGAUGUUGAGUGAGUCAGGCCAGUUACCCUUCGCGUUCGCGAUGUUGGUCCCGCAUUCGUGAAGGUUGAGUCUAAUUGUGCAUCGCGAACGCGUGGCAUGGUUCGCGUUCACGUAGAAGGGUGAAGCAGACUUGGGCACCUGGCCCUAAAGCAUCGCAUUUGCGACUGAAGAAACGUGUUCGUGUAGGCUGAGCUGAGUAAGGCAUCGCGUUCGCGAGGGUAGUGUUCGCGUUCGUGUAAGAGGAAAUUUGAGCUCUGAAUUAUUUUUUCUUCGCGAACGCGAGGCUUUUACAGCGUUCGCGAAGAAGGAAUUUUUGGCUUCAGCAGAAUGUUUAAAUAGCCAUGUUCGCGAUUUUUGGUCUAUCUUUCACCAUUUUUGAGCGAUUUUGGAGCUUUUUGAGUAGGAUUGAAGAGGGAAUCAAAGGGAAACACUUGGAGGUAAGAUUUUUGAACUCAAUACUCUAUCCUAUGUUGAUUCUUACUUGUUUAAACAUGAAAUUUGUGGAAAUUAAAGCCUAAAAUUAGGAAAGGGCUUGAAAUUGGAAAAGUAUAAAUUGGGGAUUUGAGGGGCCAUUUGAUGUUCGAUUUUGAUGUUCUUGGUAUGUAUGGACUCGUGAGAGGAUAUGGAUUUUAUUGAUUUAAUUUUUAUUGGAUUCCGAGACGUGGUCUCGUGGGUCGAGUUUGGCCAAUUUCAGGAUUUUUGCUAUAAAUUGGUUAUUUUCGAGUGGGCUUUAUUUCCUUAGCAUAUUUUGAUGGUAUGAAUCUGCUUUUGGCUAGAUUUGGAAAAUUCGGAGGCCGAGUUGAGAGGCAAAGGCAUCACGGGCUAGAGUUUGGACCAGAUCGAGGUAAGUAAUGAUUGUAAAUAUUUGUCCUGAGGGUAUGAAACCCCGAAUUUUCACAUCUUUGUGCUAUAUUGAGGUGACGCACACGCUAGAUGACAAGCGUGGGGGCGUGCACCGUUGGGGAUUGUGACUUAGUCCGUCCCGUAUGACUGUUUAACCGCAUAUUUGAUUGAAAACUGUUUGCUAUCAUCAUUUUUUGGGCUGAAUGCCAUAUUUGGGCCUCGUGCCAACUGUUUUGGACCCUUAGGGGAUUUUUACUACUAUUCCUCACUGUUUUGACUUCAUAUUUGCUCUCAGUCAUGCUGUAUUCUACUGUUUACAUAACUCAGCCAUAUUUACUCUGUUUUGACAUUUGAAAUAAUAUUUUGGGCUGAGCAUCAUGUUUUAUUAUGCCCAAGUGGCUUUGAGAGAUUUCUGACUAAGUGAGGUCGAGGGCCUAUGUUGUGAGGAUAUUAUGGGAUCGGGAUGCGCGCCACAUCAGUGUGGUACUGAUUUAAGAUUAUGAGGCCGAAGGCCUGAUUUGUUACGCCACGAGGUGGCUUGAUAUGAGGCUGAGAGCCUGUUUGAUUAUGCCAUGAGAUGGCUUGUUAUUGCGCUUGGGCCGUAAGGGGCCCUCCCAGAGUCUGUACACCCCUAGUGAGCGCGGGUACCCUGAGUGAGUGAUAUAUUGAUUAUGCCAUGAGAUGGCUUGUUAUUGCGCUUGAGUCCUACGGGGCCCCUCCUGGAGUCUGUACACCCCCAGUGAGCGCGGGUACAUAGUGUGAGAUGUGGUAUAGCCCGAGGGGCUGAUGUUGUUCUAUUUUAUUGCCUGAGGGGAGGUUCUUGAUUUAUGUUAUGCCCGAGGGGCUGAUUACGAGUGAUUGUGAGGUAGCCCGAGGGGCUGGUUCUGUUAAUAUUAUGCCCGAGGGGCGGUUUAUGGUACAUGUUUUGCCCGAGGGGCUGUUUACAUUUCUAUCAUGUUUACUCACUAUUUUUUCACUCGUUUGAAACUAUUGAAAAUUUGUUUUAAAAGGUUUUACCAAAACUGAGCAUGAUUUAUGAAGUAAAUGAUUUCUGUACUGUGUUGGAAAUAUCCUGCAUUUGUUGUAGCGUUUGACGUGGCUUACGUAUUUUCUUACUGCUCAACUUUCAUUUACCUUUAUUACUUAUUUAGUUGGAGUACUCACAUUACUCCCUGCACCUUGUGAGCAGAUUCAGGUAUUUCAGAACCCGGUAGCAGGUGUUGAUUGUUCAGUGGUAGAGUCAUCGGAGUUAGAAAGGUAGCUGCCCGACGUCCGCAUCACUGCUUUUCUCCCUCUUGUUUUCAUUAGACUGUAUUUAGUACAUUUUCAGAAUUUUUUGUUGUAUUCAGACCUUAGUUGAUGCUCGUGACUUGUGAGACCGCGAUGUUGGGCUUAUGUAUUUAUUCCGCACUAAUCAUUUAGACUUACAUUAUGAGAUAUCUGAUUAAUUAAAGGCUUAAAAAUGAUUAUUAUUAAUUAAAUAGUUAAUUCGGGAGUUGUGUCGGCUGGCCUAGUUUCACGAUAGGUGCCAUCACGACCGGGUUACUUUUAGGGUCAUGACAAGUUGGCAUCAAAGCCUAGGUUUUAUAGGUCUCACGAGUCAUGAGCAGGUUUAGUAGAGUCUCGCGGAUCGGUACGGAGACGUCUGUACUUAUCCUCGGGAGGCUGCAAAACCUUUAGGAAAAACUUCACAUUCUUGAAUUCUUAUCGUGCAUCCUUGAUUCAGCUUGAAAUGUAACUCUUUGAAUUCCUUCCAUGCGUUCGUACACGCGCAUGAGCGCUCGAUAUCAGUUGUGCAUCAACGGCUUGUGAUUUCCUGAUCGAGGGGUGAGAUAUGAUUUAUGUGUCUUGAUGUUGGGCCAGUAUGGAGGACUUGAGGCCGAGUUUUGCCUGUAGCUUGAGCACUGAGGCGUUGAUUAUGUGAGUACGUGCUUUUGGAUUCAUGUUUUCGGUAGUAUCCCUAUUAGUGGAAGUGAUGGCUGGAUGGCUAUGUGAUGAGUAUGAUGUGACUGCUAGAUGUGUUCAUACGAUUUGAAUGAGAUGAGAAUGGCGUGCUUGGUGAUGAGUGGUGAUGUUACCACUCAUUCUAGUCUCUUUUCUUUAGCUUUUAUGUCCUUUAACUAUAAUAUGAGGUCGUUUAUGGUGUGUAUUGCUAGAUUUUCAGGUAAAUGAUGCCAUGAAAUGAUUUGAAUUCAAUUGGAGUGGAAUUGAACAAAAGGGGUGAAAACCAUGCAAAACUCCCAUGUGAUUCCGCAUCUGCGGAAGGUUGGUCUCAUAACCCUGCUUCUGCAUGAAAAGUCCCGCUUCUGCAAAGUUGUCUGACCUUGCAAGAAACUGCAUCUGCGGUUAGAUUACUGCUUAUGCUGUUGCGCAUCUGCGCCGGGUAAACCACAUCUGUGGUGAUAGAGUUUAGUUGACAUUUCGCUUCUGCGAUGGGAUCUCCGCAUCUGGGGAGCCGCACCUGCGAGGAUUCUUCCGCAGGUGCGGUCAACAGACCUGGGCAAUUCAGGCAUUUCAUAUGUUCUCAACUUCAAACUAUUUUUAUACACGACCUAGCAGAUAUUUUGAGGAUCUUUGACUUAUUUUCAGUUCUUAGAACUAGAGAGAACAGGUGGAAGCUAGGGUUUUGCACACACACUUGNN
rnacentral:lncRNA from 1 species